rnacentral:rRNA from 1 species
AACGAACGCUGGCGGCAUGCCUAACACAUGCCAGUCGAACGAGACCUUCGGGUCUAGUGGCGCACGGGUGCGUAACGCGUUGGAACCUGCCCUUAGGUUCGGAAUAACUCCCCGAAAGGGGUGCUAAUCCCGGAUAAUGUCUUCGGACCAAAGAUUUAUCGCCUUUGGAUGGGCCCGCGUUGGAUUAGCUAGUUGGUAGGGUAAAAGCCUACCAAGGCGACGAUCCAUAGCUGGUCUGAGAGGAUGAUCAGCCACACUGGGACUGAGACACGGCCCAGACUCCUACGGGAGGCAGCAGUGGGGAAUAUUGGACAAUGGGCGAAAGCCUGAUCCAGCAAUGCCGCGUGAGUGAUGAAGGCCUUAGGGAUGUAAAGCUCUUUUACCCGGGAUGAUAAUGACAGUACCGGGAGAAUAAGCACCGGCUAACUCCGUG